UCAGGAUCUGCGGCUGGUGCUCCAGAGCCUGACAGCCAAUCAGAGAGCAGCGUCACACAUGACAUCAUAAGACACACUAAUUACAGUCUGCAGUGAGCGUGCAGUAACGUACAGGCACCUGCUGCGGUGCGGUGUGGACCGGAGCAGUGGACGGCACCUGACUCUGGAUGAAGUGGUGUGACGGUGUGGCGGCCGGCACGAUCAUCACCGUCUGCGGCUGCGCUGGAGUCUGCAAGAAGAAAUCACAGAAUCCAUUCACAAAAAUGAGAAGAAACUCAUACAGGUUUGGAACAAAUGGAGGGGUUCUGAAUGCAAGUUUACAUUUAGUACACUGAGAGGACGUAAGGACUCGUAUGUGAAAGAGAUCGCUGCUUCUGGUUGUGAACAGCUGUGGAUCCAGUCGAUUAAAGGGAG